rnacentral:lncRNA from 10 species
GGUGUCCGCUGUGCUCCUGACCCAGUGAGGGGCCCAUUGCUGCUCCCAAUUGGGCUAAAGGCUUGCCAUUGUUCCUGCACGGCUAAGUGCCCGGGUUCGUCCUAAUUGAGCUGAACACUAGUCACUGGGUUCUACGGUUCUCUUCCGUGACCCACGGCUUCUAGUAGAGCUAUAAUGCUCACCACAUGGCCCAAGAUUCCAUUCCUUGGAAUCCGUGAGGCCAAGAACCCCAGGUCAGAGAACACGAGGCUUGCUGCCAUCUUGUAAGCAGCCCACCGCCAUUUUGGAAGCAGCCCACCACCAUCUUGGGAGCUCUGGGAGCAAGGACCCCCCAGUAACAUUUUGGCAACCACAAAGGGACCUCCAAAGUGCAUUGAAGAAAAGAAACAAACAUACUGCUAAUAAAAAGAAUGUCUCCUUGUGGCUACUGAAACCCACAUGUCAACUGCUAUAGCUGUCAGCCUACCAGGAAUAACCCCUGCUUCAAACCCCAAGAAGCCCAUUUACUAUUUUAAUGACAAGAACUUGCUAAUGUGGGCAUAUGAACUGUAUCCUUGGAAAGGAAUGCCGUCCAUACCAGGAAGUCCUUGAGAAGGCUUGAGUUCUUGCCAUAACUAAAAAUCCGAUGAUGCAUUACCAAUGACUUCAUCCCCAAAUGAAAGCUAGCAGCCUGCUUCCGUAAUCCUCAUGGAGAGUUAUACCAAGAAAAGACAACUUUGGAAAAACAUGCAAGAGAGAGGCUUCAUUUUCUCUUUUGAAUAAAAGAAAGAAACCAGUCUAUGUGACUACGGAGGAGGCACCAUGCAGGCCCUGGUGUGGGGGCCUGUGUUUCUCCUACAAUGCUGACAGCUAGGGAUUUACCAGAGACUUAAAAAAUGAAAAAACUGCUAAUGGUAUAUAUAUAUAUUUUUUGGUGGGGCUUGUGAAUGAGAAAUAUGGAAACGAUUGGUCUCCCCCACAUUAGGCUUUUGCAUCCCAGCAGUUCUGACACUUCAGACUUCAUUGCACAGCCUAGUUUCCCUUUAGAAGAAGGGAACGGUCCCAUUCCAGUUGAUGGUGGCCUCGCUCCACUUGGUUCUGAUUGCCAUCUCCACUGGUGAAAACCGUCGUCUUGGUCCAUGUUUCUCUUCCUGUUGGUCUCUUUCCCAGUGAUGGGAGUGAGUAUCUGAAGAAGGAAUAGCCAGCAUUUAGACCCAAGCCUAUGAACACCAUUCCAGAGGAAACCACUAAAGAAGGACAGAAGGGUGGGUGGGCAGGAGUCAGGCUUGGAAAAUUGUGCUCCUACAACUGGUUAAGCAGAUGGGGAUUCAAGCAGGUAGUGUGUUGAAAUGCCCCAUACAGAAUGAGUCAGUGGUAGCCUGGGUUGUUGUGCAUAUUAGGACGUAGUAUGUGUGUUGAAACGCCCCAUACAGAAUGAGUCAGUGGUAACCUGGGUUGUUGUGCAUAACUGUUGAUAAGCUAUGUAAUACACCUUCCCGUACCAUGAUGUGACACCUAGAACCAGGUAUAGGUUACUAAAUAUUGUCAGGAAAAAAAAAAAAAGAGGCCAGGCAUGGUGGCUCACGCCUAUGGUCCCAGUACUUUGGGGGGCUGAGGCAGGUGGAUCAUCUGAGGUCGGGAGUUCGAGACCAGCCUGGCCAGCAUGGUGAAACCCUGUCUCUACUAAAAAUACAGAAAAUUAGCUGUGUGUGGUGGCGCGCGCCUGUAAUCCCAGCAGGAGGCUGAAGCACAAGAAUCACUUGAACCUGGGAGGUGGAAUUUGCAGUAAGCCAGGAUCACGCCACUGCACUCCAGCCUGGGCGACAGAGUGAGACUCCAUCUCCAACCAACCAACCAACCGACCCCACUUCUCCAUGCUUCUCAGAAUACAUUUGCAUUUUUGGAUGGAGGGCAAGGCUUUCUAGUGGGGUAAGCAAGAACUGGGUUUGGGGCUUGAGUUUAUCUCAUAUUAGCCAGGUGACACUUAAGAAGGUACUUAGCAUCUAUUGCUAAACUUCAUUUAUUCAAUUAGUAACUACUUGUUGGACACCAUAGUUUCCACUUCAUAAAAACAGAAAUCCUAGUACUUACCUCAUGUGACUAUUGGGAAUGUUACGGGUUAAUGCCUGUGAGGCUUUCAACACAAUGCCCAGAACAGAAAGCAAAUGAUUCUUGUGAGCUAAUGAAAAAUGUUGCUUUAUGCAAAGAAGGAAGUUGAGGUAGAAACAACAAUAUAUUUUAAGGAACAUAUUGUCAAUGUUAUACUAAAUUAAGUGGGUUAAGAUGUAUUUCUCAUAAUUAAAGAAAAAGAAUUAGGAGCUGCACAAAUAAAAUAGUCACUAGAUGCUUUUCCACAUGUAAUAAUGGAAGAUUACUUAAUGCCAGGCUUGUGGUGCAAAGUCAGACACAGUAAUGCUCCAUAAAUACAGCUAAGGCUAUGGAUACAAACUCCCAGUUUGUCCAGUGUUAAUACCUCGUCCGGGGGUCAAUGUUUAAAGACAUUUUAAGGUUGGUCUUUUUCCCUCAGGAGUUUAUGACCGAAAUGAUCUGUUCGGUUGUCUGCUUCUCCUGUUGGAUUUGAACCAUGUUUGUGGAACUUUUUGGAAUAAAAGAAACCAGUCUGUGUGACUACAGAGGAGCCACCAGGCAGACCUGUGCCGCAUUCACCAGUUUUCCCAGUGUCUAGCCCCAUGCCUGGCACAGAGUAGGCCCUCAAAAAUGCGUUUUGUGCUCAUUUGAACAGAAAUUUACUAUCAGUUUGGUUACUUAUGUCACUGGAUGAUCAUCUGAUGUUUGGUUGUGAGAUAGCAUCAGCCAAUUCUUCCCUGGGUUUUCCCAAUUAUUUCCUCAGGUAUUAGCUACCUCAUGCUCCAAAAUCAAAGGCCCCGGAGAAUGGUUUUUGGAAAUUUGGCUCCAUAACUUUUGUUUUUCUCUUACCUGAAAGUUAUUGGUUCUUCUCUGCUAUUUCUAACCCCCCUGCUCCUAGGUAAAGCAGAUUUCAAAUUCCCACAUUGCAAUACUUGGGUUUAGGGCCAUGGGAUUCAUGUGUGGGUUUCAUUUCAGAAACUGAGCCUAAGCAUUUUCCUGUGGAGCUAGCAUGAAUAUCCACACAGUUGUUAAACAUUGGCAACCGCAUCUCUUUGAGCACAUUAAAAUCCACAACACCUGGAGUCUGAAAUGCUCACCUAUUGUAAGACGCACAAGCUUUUUCUGUGAGGGUUGGCCACUGUAAAAGUACAGAUCAAAGAGACGUUCCAUUUUCCAGUCUGAUAAGAGCUGCCUGUUUGUGCAAAAAAGGAUGCUGUAAUUUCCAUUGAUGUUGCACAGCCAAAUAGGUAAUUUGGGAGUCUUCAGCAUGCUGCCCACCUGGAAAGGGGAAGGGGAAUGCAGAUAAAUAUAUAGAUUUUGCCACAUUGUGACACAUGCCGAUACAUGAUCGCGACCAAAAAGCAGCUCUGAGGUUUCUUGUUGCACUUGUCGCGUGCAGGGCACUGUACAUAGAGCAAGAUUUGAAAUCAAGGCUUCGUCAUGAAUAAAUUUGCAUUUAUGAAUGAUCUGGUAUAGUGGUGCUGCCAUUUUUAUCUUAAUGGAUUAUAUUAAAAUUUUUUUGGUGGCCUCACAGAGGAGGCAAAACAACUUCAGUUUGGCUUUGAGGCGAAGUGAAGAAUAAAUAUAUAAACUAAAAUAGGAAUGUAGUGGUGGAAUAAGAGAACUCUAAUUCUGUGUUUGUCACUGACUAGCAUAUCUGCUCCCAUUCCCAAGAUAAGGCAAUAAUUCAUUCAGCAGGUGGUGGUAAGACUUCUGGCAACAUCAACUAUUUAGAAUAUAGAAAAAAUGAUAUUUAAGAUAUAUAAAAUAGCUUCUGGAAAAUGAGGGAAACACAUACACACAUCACACAUAUACACAUAUAUCUACAGGUUAACAUGAUCAUUUGUGAAGAUGUUCCUAGACAGCAGCUUGUUAUCGGUUUUUUUCUAAGUACUUG